AUUUUUAAUUAAAAUCUUGUUUGAAUGGUUUAAUGAAAUAAAAACUUUUUUAUUUAAAAAUUUGAAUUUUAAUUUUUAGUUAAAAUGCUAAAAUAUUAUAAAGGGACGAGAAGACCCUAUAGAAUUUUAUAAAUAUUUAUAUUUUUAUUUAAUUAAAUUUAUUUAAAUUAUAAUUUUUAUUUUAUUGGGGUGAUAAUUAAAUUUAAUUAACUUUUUAUUUUUAAUCAUUUAUAUAUGUUUUUUUGAUCUUUUUUUAUUGAUUAUAAAAUUAAAUUACCUUAGGGAUAACAGCAUAAUUUUAUUAAAAAGGUUUUAUUUUUAAUAGUGUUUAU
rnacentral:rRNA from 1 species